UACGGAGGGUGCAAGCGUUAAUCGGAAUUACUGGGCGUAAAGGGCACGCAGGUGGCUUGACAAGUCGGAUGUGAAAGCCCCGGGCUUAACCUGGGAACUGCAUUCGAUACUGUCGAGCUAGAGUAUGGGAGAGGAAAGUGGAAUUCCCGGUGUAGCGGUGAAAUGCGUAGAUAUCGGGAGGAACAUCAGUGGCGAAGGCGACUUUCUGGCCCAAUACUGACACUCAUGUGCGAAAGCGUGGGGAGCAAAC
rnacentral:rRNA from 1 species